GGUGCGAUAUGUUAAAUUAAUUUUUAUAUGUACCUGCGUCCAGAGAGUAAAAACCCUUGCAACUCUCCUCGCUUGUAGCAGGAACCUCAUCCUACUUCAAACAAAAAGCUGCUUCAACCACAAAAACCUCAUCCGUUUAAAAUUACAGUAACUCAUGAAUGUGUUCAAAAUUGGAAAUCCAUCAACAUUUUUAUCUUUUCACGAUCUGGUCCUUCUCUCAAUUCCCCCUUAAUCAGAAUUUCUGAUCAAACCUAAAAAAACUAUUGAACGCGUUUAAAAUGCUUCAAUCUCUCUCUCUCUAUUGAAGAUCCGCGAUUCAAUCCCUCUCUCAAUUUGAAUCCCAAAUCAAUUUCACUUUCAAUUCAGAUCACUAUAACUUCUUCUCUCAAUUAAGAAUGACUCUCAACUCCUCUCUCUAUUGCAGCAUAGGUGGUGGUACAAUGUUCAUCAAUUCAAUAUUGUCACUAAGAUUUUCUUUGGAAGGUUUGUCACUAAGAUUUUCUUUGGAAGGUUUUGGAUAUCAACAAGAGUAGAGGUACUUGGAGAUUGGAGAUGAUUCAAGAGAGAUGUCAUUAAACUUUCUUCAAACAUGGUUCUAAAUUAACUAUCCAUACCAAAUCACUUCCCAAAUAGUGUGAUAGAUGUUUUUAGUUAAAAUCAUAAUAAUAUCUCAUCUUAAUGUGCGACUUGAGUAGAAGAUGAAUAAGUUUACAAGUGUCAUUUCUUCCAUCUUAUUAUUAAUAGUUUUGCUUGAUUCCUCAUACUUUAAUAUAUAAAAAAUCUUGUUAUAGGCAAAAUAUUGGGCUAGUUCUGCUACACAAUCAAUGAUUGAUAGUUUAUCUUAAUAUUUAUGUAGUUGCGAGAUUGUCAAUUUGUAUUAAUUGAAUCCUAUUAGAUGGUCUAACUAAACUCAACUUAUUAUGUAAGCACAUGUGGCUUCUAAGUUUGCUAACUUGGGAAGAUGUAAGCUACUACGUUUAUCUUAUUAUUUCUAUGGUCAAUAAUCAUAAUAAUCACUAGCGUAAAAUUCAGCUGAAGAUUGUGAAUAGGAAGCUAAGGGCUACAAAUAAACUUUCGAUAGAGAUUGAUAGGAUGAAUAUAUCAUGUAAAUGUAUAAUACUAAAGAAUAUUCUAUAUAUACAUUUGUACUUGAUUUAUACA